AGAAAAUGUGGCAAGAAUACACAGAAGAACUGUACAAAAAAAGCUUUUAAUGACCCAGAUAACCAUGAUGCUGUGGUCACUCUCCUAGAGCCAGACAUUCUGGAAUGCCAAGUCAAGUGGAACUUAGGAAGCAUUACUACGAACAAAGCUAGUGGAGGUGAUGGAAUUCCAGCUGAGCUAUUUCAAAUCCUAAAAGAUGACGCUGUUAAAGUACUGUACUCACUAUGCCAGCAAAUUUGAAAAACUCAGCAGUGGCCACAGGACUGGAAAAGUCUGCACAGUUCUCUACAUUUCCGAUUGACUUCUCCAUGAAACUUGCUCUGUGGCCACAAAGCAAAUAGUGAGACCAGUGACAGAGAAGGUAGAGAAGAGGGAGGAGCAGAAAGCAUCUUAUCUCAAGGUCAUUAAAAUCAAUGGUCCGGCUCGAGUCUCUCUGCCUGGAUGAAGUGGAGAGACCAGGCCCUGGUGGUCUCAUCUCCAAGCUUUCAGAGCCUUGGAUGCUCCCUGUUCUCCUCUCCUGCUGCCUUGACCGACCAACCACCUAUGGAUCUCAGAGUUACCUCCUCAGGGUUACAACUCAUAAAAGCACAGCCCCAAAUUAGGAUGUCAUAUGGAAAAUACUAUGACAGAGGUCCACAAAUUUUGAAAUGUGGUUCCUGGCAAGCUGAGUAGAUUUGGAUUUAAACUGUUGAGCCCUCAAGCUCAAAUAUUUGACAGAUGCUCUAAGGCUUUACAAAGCACAAAAUAAAUGGUGUUUUUUGAG
ensembl:lncRNA